UCAUCUAUCCAAUACAGAAGGAAAAUAGAGUUGGGAGUGGACGACCUUGAGCUUGUCCAGCCACCUUCAUUGUGCUUCUCCAGUGCGUUCAUGUGUCAUAUUGCGAGCAUUCCUGUGCCGCGUGCAUGCUUUGGACUAUGUGUUGUCUAUUGUUAUGUAGUAUCUCCAGAUUUUCUAAACUAACUUGCUCAAUGACAGAAUUGUGUAUUGCACAGUACAUGUAUUACUACUAGGAAUGUUCAGAAAUCAGAACUCAAAGAAGUAUUGACAGCACAACUACUGUAUAUUCAAGGAGUCGGGUUUUGCUCCUGCAUCACCUCGUCUCCUCCGUUCGACAAAAGCAUCAGAUAAGUUCACACUAUGGUUUUGCUCUUUCGUAUAAUUCAUGAGUCCAUACUCCUUCGGUUUUUGUUCCAUAGAAAUUAAAGAAACCUGUAGAAGUUUGGGGUAUAAAAUUCUAUAAGUUCAAAACCGGGAAACUAGUAAGUUCAGACAAAAUUAAAACUGUCAAAGAACAUGAGAGUUUUUGUCAAAAAAGCGAGGCUUCCCCACGCCAGCACAAACUUUUUAAAUGGGUGGAUUUUGUCAAAGCAAAAACUGAAUGGGUGGCAAGAUGAAUGUAGUUGUUAUUAAAAGUUUCUUUUUCAACUUCUCCUCUUAAUAUACAUGAACUUGAUUAUAUUUUUAACCGGUUAAAUAUACAAGGUUGGCAAGAUGACUAUAGUUGUUAUAGCAAAAAAGUACCGUUUUCUUAAAAAAGUUUCUGUUUGAACUUCUCCAAUUAAUAUACAUGAACUCAAUUAUCUUUUUAACAUGUACUCACAUGAGCUCGUUUGGAUUUUUGUGUAUACUUGUAACACAAUCAGUUCAGAUCUCGAGAGACCGUAAGUUUAGUCGGCCUUGGCAUCACGAACGGGUUCAGUUCGAUCUCGCAUAGUGGGCAGGUCCCUGAUGGUGUGUCUGUCAGUUCUACUCGCACGAGUGGACGUCAGAUCGUGCAAGUGGGAAGGUCCCCGAUGUAUAUUCAGUUCAACAUCUGGUGCUUCUUCAGUUCAUCGUAGUGUGCAUUUUCACUUCAUCUUGCAGGUAUGAUCAUUCUCUGCCCUUGCUAAUGUAUUUUGUAGUAACUUUGUAAACAAAAGAGAUAGCACACUGGAACAAAACAGUAGUGAAGAAAGAUACCCUAUGUUAAUUUUGGUGACUCUAUUGUUCGUUCCAUCACUUGUAGAUGUAUGCCUGACCAUUUUUUCUCAAAUUUGGCAUUUGUUAAGUUGUGAGGCUACCCAUUCGGGUGCUUACUUGAAGGGGUAGCCACGGUGCUGAUACUAAAAAAAUGGAUGAGUAAUCACAAAGACCAUCAUGGAUGACGACAAGCCUACAGCUGCUAUGGUUUUAGUCAAGUGUUUCAGAAAUGCGCAGUACUACUUUGUAUCUGUCACUCUUUGUCAGGGGAAGUCAUACUAGUACUGAUGAAAUAUCAAGUUGACAUUGUGCUCGGCCAUAGGUCCGCAUUUUUUCUCUCCCUUCGGUUCAAGGAGAAGCAACAGCUGGCCUGCAGUGCCGCCAUCUGAAGACAGGGGAGAUGUCCGUAAUCCCCUUAUGGUAAUUAUGCAGGUGCGGAACCCCCCAAGCGCACGACAACCUCAUCCGUCCAAGUUGAGCACUGGGCGCUGUCCGAGUAGAGCAAUGCGCCCCGUCCAAGUUCCCAUCUAAUGUUGAACGUUCAAUUUUGUCAUGUUGAAUACUAUACCGCUGAGUGCUAUUGACAGUCAGUUAUUUCUUCCUUCCAUGCUGCACUUGGAGAGCUUAAUCUCCCAUUGGCAAAUUUAAUCUGUACCAGUAAGUACAUGAUUAAUAUUUUAGGAUAUGUGUGGUUCCAGUAAGUACAUGAGUACUAUUUAGCAUGUUUGGUUGCUUCUGAAACUGAAAAUGUCAGGGUGUACUGAUGCAUUUCAAAAUUGUUGUGUGUUUUCAGGGAAAACCAUUUGUCGGGUUUUUGGUGGCCAAGUGUUAUUGAUAUGGAGAUGAAUAACUAUGCGGAUGCACUCCUGCUGUUUUUGCAUCUCCUUCGCGACGACCUAUUUUGUGCCCAUGAACAAAUAGCAAAGCCCUCCUGUAGCCUGAGCUAUUCAUCGCCUUGUCUCAAUGGAUCAGAGUUCAUGGAAAAAAUGUUUGGCAUCCUGUAGUAGUUAUAGUCCUUAAGUUACAACAGUUUGAUCAUGAAAAAAACAUCAGUACAAAAAGUAUGGAGCUUCUAAUGUUGUAGUGAUUUCGUGUGACCACAAGGAUCCUUCCUGGAAGGUAGUUGGUGGGUUGUGUGCAUGCUCUACAUACAUCCAUGCUAGCCUAUCCUGCUGUGUGCGUGCGUCCUUCAUGUGUGUUCAUGUUCGUGCCGAUGUAGUGUGAAUGCAGGGCGAGCUGGACAAUGUGUCGUGUGUGUGUGUGUGUGGUGUGUGCUUGCCAUGAGAGUGCUGCUAAUUUCUAGUGUUGCUGUUUGUUUUCUCUACAAGGAAAAAUUAGCUGCUGCUGUCUGAAGUUUCAGGAAUUGAAGAAUUCUUUUGGCAAUUGAUGAAAAGCUAUGAUUUUGUGCUCCUGUUUUUUAUUAUGUCAAUGAGAAACCAAUACUUCUUUUCUUUAGGUUUCGUGUUUUAGUUGGUGAGGGUGUUUUAAUUGGUGAGGGAUAAACAAAUUUUCCUAUUCAAGUGGAAGCUCCCAGUAUAUGAUGGAUGUGGGAGUUAUUUUUACAUUCACUGUUCGGUGCUUCUCUUUAUGUAAUGUUUUAUGUUUUCAAGU